rnacentral:rRNA from 1 species
GAGUUGAUCCUGGCUCAGGAUGAACGCUGGCGGCGUGCCUAAUACACGCAAGUCGAGCGAAGCGCCUGCUUCUGAACUUUCGGGGGAAGAGGCUUGCGACUGAGCGGCGGACGGGUGAGUAACACGUAGGUAACCUGCCUCACACAGGGGGGAUAACAGUUAGAAAUGACUGCUAAUACCGCAUAAGCGCACAGGACCGCAUGGUCUGGUGUGAAAAGCUCCGGCGGUGUGAGAUGGACCUGCGUCUGAUUAGCCAGUUGG